UGUGGUGGAUACUUUAACUGACUUCGGUUGGUUUAGUAUUACUACAUAAGCAUAUGAUACUUCUUAGAGGGAUUGGUGGAUAUCAAAGCCACACGAGAAAGAGCAAUAACAGGUCUGUGAUGCCCUUAGAUGUUCGGGGCCGCACGCGUGCUACACUGACAGUAGUAGAGAGUUUGGUAUUCUAGCUCGAAAGAGCUGGGCAAUCUUUUCAAUUACUGUCGUGCCUGGGAUCGGGGUUUGUAAUUAUCCCCCGUGAACCAGGAAUUCCUAGUAAGCACAAGUCAUCAGCUUGUGCUGAAUACGUCCCUGCCCUUUGUACACACCGCCCGUCGCUACUACCGAUUGAAUGGUUUAGCAAGGUCAAUGGAUUGGCCGCAGUUAAGUGCAAACUUAUUGUGGUUGAGAAGCUGGCCGAACUUGAUCAUUUAGAGGAAGUACAAGUCGUAACAAGGUUUCCGUAGGUGAACCUGCGGAAGGAUCAUUA
rnacentral:rRNA from 1 species